rnacentral:RNase_P_RNA from 1 species
GUCCGGGCUCCACAGGGCAGGAUACUCCGUAACGCGGAGUGGGGGCGACCCUAAGGAAAGUGCCGCAGAAAAUAUACCGCCUUUCGCACGCCGGGAGGUAAGGGUGAAAAGGUGAGGUAAGAGCUCACCGACGUAUUGAGUAAUUGAUGCGGUCGGAAAAACCUUAAGGGCUGAAAGAUCAAAUAAACCGGGAUCCAGUAUUGGAAAAAGUUACUCGCUUUCCCCGGAGGGUAGGUCGAUAAAUACCCGAAAGGGUCAGAUAAAUGACAGAACCCCUGUUGGGGACAGAACCCGGCUUACAGGUUUGCAUUUUUA